UACGUAGGUGGCAAGCGUUGUCCGGAAUUAUUGGGCGUAAAGAGCUCGUAGGCGGUUUGUCGCUUCUGCUGUGAAAACUCAGGGCUUAACCCUGAGCCUGCAGUGGGUACGGGCAGACUAGAGUGUGGUAGGGGAGAUCGGAAUUCCUGGUGUAGCGGUGGAAUGCGCAGAUAUCAGGAGGAACACCGGUGGCGAAGGCGGAUCUCUGGGCCAUAACUGACGCUGAGGAGCGAAAGCAUGGGGAGCGAACAGG
rnacentral:rRNA from 1 species